UACGUAGGGGGCUAGCGUUGUCCGGAAUCAUUGGGCGUAAAGAGCGUGUAGGCGGUCCGGUAAGUCCGCUGUGAAAGUCGGGGGCUCAACCCUCGAAUGCCGGUGGAUACUGUCGGGCUAGAGUGCGGAAGAGGCGAGUGGAAUUCUUGGUGUAGCGGUGAAAUGCGCAGAUAUCGGGAGGAACACCUAUUGCGAAGGCAGCUCGCUGAGACGUAACUGACGCUGAGACGCGAAAGCGUGGGGAGCAAACAGG
rnacentral:rRNA from 1 species